AUUGAACGCUGGCGGCAGGCCUAACACAUGCAAGUCGAACGAGUGGCGGACGGGUGAGUAGUGUAUGGGAAACUGCCUGAUGGAGGGGGCUAACUACUGGAAACGGUAGCUAAUACCGCAUAACAUCAGAUGUGGCCAGAUGGGAUUAGCGAGGUGGUGGGGUAACGGCACAACAAGGCGACGAUCCCUAGCUGGUCUGAGAGGAUGACCGGCCACACUGGAACUGAGACACGGUCCAGACUCCGACGGGAGUCAGCAGUGGGGAAUAUUGCACAAUGGGCGCAAGCCGGAUGCAGCAAUGCCGGGUGUAUGAAGAAGGCCUUCGGGUUGUAAAGUACUUUCAGCGGGGAGGCGUUACCCACACAAGAAGCACCGGCUAACUCCGUGCCAGCAGCCGCGGUAAUAC
rnacentral:rRNA from 1 species